GCGAAUUUCAAAUUUGAUUCUAGUAGGCUGCGAAGAAAAACAUCAAUUUCGCGCAAAAUUUUGGAGAUAGCCAAACAUCAGCAGGAGACUUAAGCCAUCAGAACCUUGAAGAUUGCCAAACAUCAGCAACGACGCCCACAGCACACUCAACGCCAUUGGUCGCCAAUAACUCUCAACCCUACAACAUUCCAGCUACAUUGUUCGGUGAGUUUUAUUGUUUAAAUCGGUCAUGCCCAGCGCGGGGCACUUGCAUAUGGAAUUCUGCCAGCGCAGGGAACUUGCUUAUAGAGUUAUGCCAACGUUGGUUUAAAUAUUAAGAAACGCGGUUGCUCCAGACGCAACUAAAUCCAUAUGUAUGUAUGUACUUACUUGUGUUUAUAUCGUCGGUGAUACUGCAAAACUUUGCAGAAAUUAUUACCUCUGGCCCUGAUUUGUUACCCUCACCGGAGUGCCAAAAGUUAUAAUCUAUUAAACUCGUGACGAAAAUGUAUUCCUUUUUCUGUAAGGUACGGGUGAGGGAUUAUUUAAUUAAAGUUUGCAGUAUCACUGCCGACACGUAUAUACAUAUGUAAACAGAAAGUGCUGUGAAAAGUGCAACAGAAUGCCAGCUUUGGCUACAACUACAUAAAUGUGGUCACAUGUAUGUAUAUAAACAAAAAAUAAAG